UGCGGGCAGCCGGGAUAGGCCGGCGCAGCCAGCCCAGCACCAGCUCCUUGCAUUAUUAUUUAUGGGUUCGUGCAGCUGGCGGGAGGCCAGUCCCCGCCACGCCGCUCCUGCCGUGGAAGGGCGGGCCGCGUCCGGGGCACCAAGGGUUCAGAGUCGCACGCGGGCGCGCUUUCUGUACACAGCCCGCCUUUUCGCGCGUCGUUGUCCUCACUUAGGAGAACUGGAGCCGGGAAUCGGGACCAGCCACCCCUCUCCCUGAGACCAAGAGAGCGCUCCUGCCCAGGACUGGAGCUGUGCCAUUGGAUCCCUUACCCACAAAGGGACUUUUGAUUCUGGCCUGACCCUCCCGGGGCCCUGUGUUCCAGGUCCUCUCCAAGGCGAGGGAACUCACAGGGCGAGGGAACUGUUCUCCUUCCUGAAGGAUUCUCAGAUUCCCCAACUGGAACCAUGGCUGGUUGGAGCGUGGAGUGACAAGGUCAGCUGGACAUGUUGGGUGGAGUGCAGACUCCUCUUCUCGGAGGUCCUCUGGCCGUUAAGGAUUAUCAGGAUCCAGACCAGUUCUGAUCUCCUCACUGGAGCAAAGAAAGGAGUCGUGGGGCUUGGACACGCUGGGGGCUGAGAGACUGCAGUCGAGCUCAGUGUGUGAGUGAGGGAGCCUGGGGACGUCCAGUGUGUGCAGCCAGCCAGAAUGGGCAUGAGGAACAGCGCAAUGGCACAGAGCCACAGUGUUCAAUCUUCAACAUUAGAAGGAGCAGAACUCGUUACCGGUAAACGGCGGUA